CCAAUAGCGUAUAUUAACGUUGUUGCAGUUAAAAAGCUCGUAGUUGAAUUUCGGGAUUGACACAUCGGUCGUGCCUUAAGGGGUAUGAACUGGUGUAGUCAAUUUCUCACCUUCUGGAGAACCGCGAUGCCCUUAAUUGGGUGUCGCGGGGAACCAGGACCUUUACUUUGAAAAAAUUAGAGUGUUUAAAGCAGGCAUUUUGCUUGAAUACAUUAGCAUGGAAUAAUAAAAUAGGACGGCAUGAUUCUAUUUUGUUGGUUUCUAGGAUCACCGUAAUGAUUAAUAGGGAUAGUUGGGGGCAUUAGUAUUCAAUUGUCAGAGGUGAAAUUCUUGGAUUUAUUGAAGACUAACUACUGCGAAAGCAUUUGCCAAGGAUGUUUUCAUUAAUCAAGAACGAAAGUUAGGGGAUCGAAGACGAUCAGAUACCGUCGUAGUCUUAACCAUAAACUAUGCCGACUAGGAAUCAGACGAUGUUAAUUUUUUAAUGACUCGUUUGGCACCUUACG
rnacentral:rRNA from 1 species